AGGUGUAGUGAGAGUACCAACACUAAAGCAGUUAUGGUAUUUGGAAUAGUUUGACCAUUCCAUGGACCAUUAUAUUGUUACUGGUUAAUUACAAUCAGAUGCAUUAAACUAAUAAACAAUAUGAGGUUAAUUUCAGUGUAUUUAUAAAGCCGCGUCAGGGAUGUGGAUCUGAAAAAGAAAGGGUAACCACACAGGAACAGUAGCACUGCUUUGACGCUGGGUGCCGCCAGUCUGCAAAACCGAGCGGAAAACUUGCGUACACCAGGGUAUGAGGUACCGUGGAAAUGUGCGUAGCUUUAUGCCAAUGCUUCUCAAUUAUUUUCUGUCAUGCCCCCCCUAGGAAGAAGAAAACAUCUCGCGCCCCCCCGCGCGACUAUAAAUAGUAUCAUUUGUCUAUAAAAUUGUUAUAAGUACACCUCUGCAUAACACUGUAUCCUUAUUAACGUAUAAGAGAAUAAAAAAAGAAAGAAAUAUGGACCAAUUUACAACAAAAAAUAGCUUUAUUAAAUGUAACAGAAAAGAUUUAAAGUGCAUUCUAAAUUCAAAAAAAAUUAAA